AGUGUAAGCACCAUAGGGUAAGGAAUUAGCUCUGCUCUAUUUGCUGUUGUAACCUGAACCAAGAAGAAUGUUUGGCACACAGUACUUGCACUGGGACUACUAAAAGAAACAACUUUACCCAUGAAGAAUGCAGAAAAGCAAGGCAGGAUGGUGGCCCACCCUGGAAGGACAUGGAGCCAAGGGAGCCUCCCCCAUCCAGGGAGGUGGUGAGUGAAUGCUGUGGCCCUGGGAACCCACGCUUCUCCCAUGGGUCUUCGUACCCUUGGGUCAGGAGAUCCCCUCGUGGACCCACUCCACCAGGGCCUUCAGUCUGACACACAGAACUAUGUGGAGUCUCAUCAGAGCAGCCAUUGAGUUUGCCGAGAAUGAUGGUUUCCAGCUUCAUCCAUGUCCCUGCAAAAGACAUGAACUCAUCAUUUUUUAUGGCUCCACAGUAUUCUAUGGGAAAAGUUUGCAGAAUGAAUGUAAGAUCUUAACAGACUCUCCAAAGUCUGUUGCCUGGUGACUGGACAGAAGCUGGAAUGUCCUGGCAGAUCUAUUGUGGCAAGAAUGUGCAAAUCCCCUCUACAUGGCAUUUUGCACAAGAUUUGAUGAGAAAAUAUGGGGAAUUGCUCACUGGGGAUGCUAUGUUUUGUUUGUCUGUUCCAUGCAAGCUCCAUUUAGAGGCCUUUAAGAACUCUAAGACUAGGGUCCAAAGCAAAUAAUUAUAGCACUAAACAAUCCACCCCUCAAAACAUAUAUUUUCCUCUAAUGUUUUUGCUUAUUUAUGAUGUUUCACAUAAGAUGAUCACAUCACAUCAAUUAUGAUGAAAACCUUUGAUUGGGGGGCUUUGGAGGAAUUCCUCAGAAGAUCAAUCUUUUAAAUAAAAAUAAAGAAAAAAAUAAAAAUAAAAAUAAAGAAAUCUAUACAUAUAAAUAUGCCAGUCUCAGGUAUUAAUGCAUUGAAAUAAUGGCUAUUUCUUUAUUUAUAUAGACCCUGUUAUAUUAUUUAGUGUUAUCUUGGUGCUUUUAUUCAAACAAAUUCUUUGGUUCUCUAACUAUUAAUGAUUCUAGAAGUUAUAUGAUCCAUUCUAUCCCCCAGCUUCAAAUUAUCUUGUUAUAACAUUCAGCAACUAAUUUCCACUUUUGCAAUCAUACUUUUUCGACUCCCAUCCUGCCUAGCAGAGAAAUGUGGGAAGGAGUAUGAGGAUGCUGUGUUCCAGGGGAUGCUAAUUUCCUGGCUUGGUUUUGCCACCUGCUACCUAAAUGUAACCUUUCUGAGGCUCAGUUGUCAUUUGUAUAAUUGGGUAUAAUAACACUUCACAGAGUCAUAAGGCUAAAAGAUUUGGUACUUUGGAAAUUGCUUUGUAAAAUUCUGUGAAAGUAAAAGGAUUAUUAAGGCUCUUCCUGUCAAUCCCAGUCUAAUGGCUAUGUCUGUUACUUCAUUUUUGGUGAUAUUGUCUUAAUAUUGAAAGUCAAUUAUUAUUAAAUCAGUGUAAGGAAGAAACUUUAUAAAAUGAAGAUAUGGAUUUCAUGUUCAGGAAAGUUUAAAAAUUGCCAUUGCUUACUCCCUACCCCCGAAUAUGCUCUAGUCAAAACUGUAAAAUGAUUUUUUUACUCCCUGUUAGGAAGAAUCAUCUUUAGAAAUAAUCAUCUUUAGGAAGAAUGAUUUUUCCUAAAGGAAACCGAAGUUCAUUUUUGAUCAGGAAUAGGGUGGUAUCUGUACAUAUGCAAACAAAUGCUAUAUUUCUUUGUGAUCCAAAGGAUUUACAAUCUAAUGGUCAGUAGAGCAGAUUUUUAAAGUUUGCGUGAAGUGUCUAUCCACCUAGUGCGUAGUGAGCUGUAGGACAUGGGUGAAAUAUAUUUCAUCUCCCUGUACACAUUAAAGUGGACAUUCACAAUGUGUAUCAAGGUGCUAUAGAGAACUGCUGUUGCCUCUUGCUUCUUUCCUGUUUCUUUUCUAUGAUGUAUUAAACAGGAAAGCUAAAUGCUGCAGCUAUUGAUAAUUAUGUUUGACUGUAGUAGCAUUCCCUGAUGCUAGCUGGUAGCUAACCUGGUGCUCAGCCAAAUGUGUCAUCAUAUUAUCUGUGCAUCAGGAUCAAGGUCAGCAGCAUAUUGCAGAUAACCUCUUAUAUGGGCUAAUGUUUAUCAACUGACUUUGGAAACCAUAACCAAGCUGUCCUUCAUUAAGUGUGCUGUCCUUCAUUAAGUGUUCUGUCCUUAAGAAGUGCAGCAUAAAAUGGGUUGAACAGAACUAGAUCUCUUACAUAACCUGCUUGUUUUCACUGAAGGUUGGCAACAAGUCAAAAAAGGCAUCUGGCAAGUUCACAUGCAGUUCAGCUUGAUUACUAACAGUAAGAUAUGAGGUAUAUGAUGUUAUCCAAUGAUACCAUCCCCUAAAAGAGAUACUCGUACAAACUUAAGUUUAGCAUAAAAUUCCAAAUAAUCUUCCUAUUAAAAUCUUUGAAUAUUUGAAUAAUAUGAUUAAUAUGAAUAUUCAUGACAAAAUGGAAUAUUGGGCUUAUAAGUUUCAGUCAUCCAACCACUUGGUAAUUUGUCAUAUUUUUCUGAUAUCAAUUUGCUUAUCUGAGGAUAAAAAUCUACAAUAGAAUACAAAGUGGCAUGCCCAAUUUGUUGCUGUACAAUAACUGGACUACUGUGAGUACACUGAGUAAAGCUGAAGAACAGGAGCCCAGCUAGGGAGAAACACCAGGCAGCCGCCUGAAAUCAACUCUCCUUGCCAUUGAGGGCUGUGUACAGUAAUCUAGGCCUCAGCUCCUAACAGAUUAGGAUCAGCUAUUUAUUUAAGAAGAAUCUCUUAGGGGCAUGUACACUUCCUCAUAAGAUCUCACUUUUCCAGGCACCACAUUUAGAUCCUUGUAUCGUGUAGGAUAUUUAGGAAGUCAUUGCUUUUGUGGGUGGCAAAUCAUAGAAAACAUGCUGUCAUAAAUAAAACAGAAAUUAUCCAAUGGUACAUGAAUCUCAAAUAUUCAUCUAAAUAAUGCUACUUAAGAAGACCAUAGUAAAAAUAAUGCUAAUCACACUUCUUGAUAUUUACCAAACUUUAUAGUGUAUGAUAUUCUCAAAUUCUUUAUUUCAUGUUUGAAACAAAGGAAAUGCUAGCUUAGAAAAUAGCCUGCUAUUUUCAUGAACCGGAAUUUUCCAAAUUCUUUCAAUUUGUUACUAAUACUAAAAGUGUUCUUAUAAAUAGGCAAUUAAUAUGUAUUCAUUUAUGUAUUGCCUUUUAAAUUCAUUUUAUUUUGAGACAGGAUCACACUCUGUUGCCCAGGCUGAAGUGCCAUGGGUGAUACCACCUCCAUCUCUCAGGCUGAGACAAUCCUCCUGACUCAGCCUCCCAAGUAGCUGAGACUACAGGAACAUACAGCAGUGCCUGACUAACUUUAUUUAUUUAUUUUUUGUCCCUACAAAAAAUUAGGGCCUCGCUAUAUUGCCCACGAUAGUCUUGAGCUCCUGGGCUCAAGCAAUCCUCCUGCCUCAGCCUCUCGAAGUGGUAGGAUUACAGGCAUGAGCCACCACACUUGGCCAAAAUAUUUAUGACUGUUUGAUAGUUAAGAGCUUCUUCUACAGGUAUUUUCCCUCAUGUAUUUGUGCAUAAGGGGAUGUGAAUGUGAUAAUAAUUUAAAAUAUAAACUAUAGCCAAUAUAUACUGAACAUUGAACAUGUCUUACAUGCCAUGCAUUAUUCUAACGGCUUUAUUUAUUAUAUUAAUUCAUUUAAAUAUAUUAUAUAUUUAAUUUAAAUUUCUAUGAGUUAGCUAA
rnacentral:lncRNA from 10 species